rnacentral:lncRNA from 1 species
GGGUCUAGGUCCAUGUAUUCAACACAAAACAACUCAGAAUCAUGAAGCAAAUGAACAUUUGAACAAUUUCACUAUCGUCGUUUACCUCGUGUUCAUCGAAAAUCUUGAACAAAUGAAACAAAAUCGAAAAGAGCCUAAUCAUCAUCACCAAAAUCCUAUUUCAAUUCGCAUCCAUCAUCAACUUCACUGAAUCAAAUCCAUCGAAGCCAAGUCAUAACCAAUUUGUAUCGAGGAGGAAUGCGGAAUCAAGAAGCAAGAAGGAGAAGAUCACUUACCGAAUCAGAGCUCUGACGCGGUGGCUCUCUGAAAAAUUGUAGGUAUCGAAUUCCUCCCUCUUGCUUUGCUUCGAUUCACUAUUUCAUCUUCUCUGUAAUUCUUCUACUUCUCUGCAACUUUUCUGCUACUGUGUGAAUUGAAGAGAGGACGUGUGUUUGUGAUGGAUUGAUGAGGGAAUGUGAGAGUUGAAGAGAGAAUGUGAGAGUUGAAGAGAGUGAAAAGUGCUUCUGAAAAUUGUAGUGAGGUUGGAGAUUUGUGAUUUUUGAUUCAUGAUCCCUGAUUGAAAUGUGAAGCUGCCAAUUUAUAGAUUCUGAAAAUCUGUUAGAGAUGCAACUCAAAUGCAUCUCAAAUUUGAAUGAAAGUCCAAUGAAUUAGUUAGAAAUUCAGAAUUCUGUUAGGGUGUAAAUGAGUGAGUUGGAAUGUGUUAGUUUGCAGAAUGUGAUGUUAUGUUAAUUAGCAAUUGAAAAUCAGUUAGUCUGUUUGCAAGAAUGUGAUGUGCAGAUUCAAUUGAGUGGUUAUGUAAUGCUAGCUUCCAUUUUUUCAACAUCUGCUAGUUACAGGGGGUAUGUUUUCCUUCUGUUAGAAAGUGUAGGUUGCAUUGGUUUAGUUUUCUGUCAUGCACCUCUCAUUCGAAUUACUUGGAAAACAUUAUUAGGCUGCUGUUGAAACAUAGGCUAAGUAUGGAACUGAAUUAUGGGAUUUGGACUGGAAUUGUGAUUGUGUAUUGAAUGACACUUUUGAAUUGUGUAGGGAAUAUGAAUCAUAUGAAUUAUGUGUAUGGAAUAUUUAUGUAUGGAAUGCCAAUGGUUUGAAUGGUUGGUUUAGUUUAUUGUGUAGGAAUCGUGUAUCCUUGAAUGGACUGAUGUAGAAAUGUUUAUUGCUUAUGAAUGUUAUACACUUGAAUGCUUGGAUUAUGUGGUUAGUUUGAAUUGUAUGGGAUUGUGUAUUGUAUGGCAUAUUUGAAUUGUGUUAUGGCUACUCCUUUGAAUGGUUGGAUUAAUGUGGAAAGUGUUAUGGAAUGUUUAUUUCUUAGUGUAUGAAGCUAACUAGUGAUGCAUUUUUUACAUGCCCUAUUAGUCAUUAGAAUGGCAAUGUUAUGUUAGGUCCAUUUAAGAAAAAAAAGUGAAUCUAAUUGGUGUCAAAUGUGAAUUUACAGGUCUUGCUUAGCAUGGAGAUUUGGUCAAGGAUGUGAUAUAAAAGCAUGAACCGAUAGACAUGGGCUUGAAGAUCAAGAUGAGGACUUAGGGAUGGAUGGUUGACUUUGGUCAACUAGUUGACCAAAACUUCAACAGUUGACCAAAGUCAACGGUAGGGUUUAGACUAGGGUUUUCUCUGUAUGUAAAAUGUAUGGACUUGUAAAAUGUACAUAGAUGACUUGUAACAUAAAAGAUCUUGAAUGAAUAAGACUUGGUUUUAAAUAAAACAUGACUUUCAUGACUAUGUUCAAAUAUACCUCCUUAAGCAAGAAUGAAUGCAUCUGAUUAAAUGGAUUAAAA